rnacentral:rRNA from 1 species
UACGGGGGGAACAAGCGUUGUUCGGAAUUACUGGGUUUAAAGAGCAUGUAGGCGGGAAGGCAAGUCUGGUCGUGAAAUCCUCCGGCUCAACCGGAGAAUGGCGCUGGAAACUGCCUUUCUGGAGUACGGAAGAGGAAAGUGGAAUUCCAGGUGUAGCGGUGAAAUGCGUAGAUAUCUGGAAGAACACCGGUGGCGAAGGCGGCUUUCUGGUCCGAUACUGACGCUGAGAUGCGAAGGCUAGGGGAGCAAACAGG